rnacentral:rRNA from 1 species
UACAGAGGGGGCAAGCGUUAUUCGGAAUUAUUGGGCGUAAAGGGCUCGUAGGCGGUCUGUCACGUCGGGAGUGAAAACUCAGGGCUUAACCCUGAGCCUGCUUCCGAUACGGGCGGACUAGAGGUAGGUAGGGGAGAACGGAAUUCCUGGUGUAGCGGUGGAAUGCGCAGAUAUCAGGAGGAACACCGGUGGCGAAGGCGGAUCUCUGGGCCUUACCUGACGCUCAGGUGCGAAAGCUAGGGGAGCAAACAGG